GGCUCUGUUGUGUUUUCCCCACAAGGGAGAAAUUCUCUUUCCAAGUGAAAACUAUGCAAGACAAGAGGACUCUAAGUUCAUAGUGCAGAGGUUUGAGCAGGAGAGAAAUUUAACAAGCCAGCAGUUUAUUCCAUCACUGCUACAAGCCUGAUCCAAGAACUUUGCAAUUACUGCUCUUAUUCCUGUGACAAUGCCAAGUGACUUAGGAGCCCAAGUCCCAUUUUCAACAGUGGCUUAGGCAUACAGAAGACUACGUCUCCUUGAAGAACAUCAAUGGGACUUAGAUGCUGUAUAAAAUUUUCAAAGACACCUAUAAGCGUAGACUUGAGAAAGGGAGAACAGCCUAAUACCUUGAACACAGGACCGACAGACAAUUUCUGGAUUCUAUUACCAACUCUGUCAUAUGCAGUGUGACACCAAGGGGGGCAGAGGGCGUGAGAGGAAUCCCUCUCAGCAUGUGAAACUACUCCUUCCUUA